rnacentral:rRNA from 1 species
UACGUAGGGUGCAAGCGUUAAUCGGAAUUACUGGGCGUAAAGCGUGCGCAGGCGGCUUUGCAAGACAGAUGUGAAAUCCCCGGGCUUAACCUGGGAACUGCAUUUGUGACUGCAAGGCUGGAGUGCGGCAGAGGGGGAUGGAAUUCCGCGUGUAGCAGUGAAAUGCGUAGAUAUGCGGAGGAACGCCGAUGGCGAAGGCAAUCCCCUGGGCCUGCACUGACGCUCAUGCACGAAAGCGUGGGGAGCAAACAGG